GUUAAAAAGCUCGUAGUUGGAUUCCUGACCUGGGGUAGCCGGUCCGCCUUGCAAAAGGUGCGCACUGAGCGGCCUCGGUCAUCCUUGAGAAGAGCGGUCCUGGCAUUCAGUUGUCGGGGUCGGGAUUCUCGACGUUUACUGUGAAAAAAUCAGAGUGUUCAACGCAGGCUUACGCCUUGAAUACAUUAGCAUGGAAUAAUGAGAUAGGACCUUGGCGGUCUAUUUUGUUGGUUUGCACGCCGAGGUAUGAUUAAAAGGGACGGUUGGAGUUCUUCGUAUUCAAUUGUCAGAGGUGAAAUUCUUGGAUUUAUGGAAGACGAACUGCUGCGAAAGCGUCGAACAAGGACGUUCUCAUUAAUCAAGAACGAAAGUUAGGGGAUCGAAGAUGAUUAGAUACCAUCGUAGUCUUAACCAUAAACUAUGCCGAUUCAGGAUUGGCGGUCGUUUGUUCUCGACUCCGUCAGCACUGUAUGAGAAAUCAAAAUCUUUGGGUUCCCGGGGGGAAGUAUGGUCGCAAGGCUGAAACUUAAAAAAAUUGACGGAAGGGCCCCACCAGGAGUGGAACCUGCGGCUU
rnacentral:rRNA from 1 species